AGAUUGAACGCUGGCGGCAUGCCUUACACAUGCAAGUCGAACGGCAGCACGGGAGCAAUCCUGGUGGCGAGUGGCGAACGGGUGAGUAAUAUAUCGGAACGUGCCCAGUCGUGGGGGAUAACGCAGCGAAAGCUGUGCUAAUACCGCAUACGAUCUAUGGAUGAAAGCGGGGGAUCGCAAGACCUCGCGCGAUUGGAGCGGCCGAUAUCAGAUUAGGUAGUUGGUGGGGUAAAGGGCCUACCAAGCCUGCGAUCUGUAGCUGGUCUGAGAGGACGACCAGCCACACUGGAACUGAGACACGGGUCCAGACUCCUACGGGAGGCAGCAGUGGGGGAAUUUUGGACAAUGGGCGCAAGCCUGAUCCAGCAAUGCCGCGUGCAGGAUGAAGGCCUUCGGGUUGGUUAACUAGUC
rnacentral:rRNA from 1 species